rnacentral:rRNA from 1 species
CAAGUCGAGCGGAGAUGAGGUGCUUGCACCUUAUCUUAGCGGCGGACGGGUGAGUAAUGCUUAGGAAUCUGCCUAUUAGUGGGGGACAACAUUCCGAAAGGAAUGCUAAUACCGCAUACGUCCUACGGGAGAAAGCAGGGGAUCUUCGGACCUUGCGCUAAUAGAUGAGCCUAAGUCGGAUUAGCUAGUUGGUGGGGUAAAGGCCUACCAAGGCGACGAUCUGUAGCGGGUCUGAGAGGAUGAUCCGCCACACUGGGACUGAGACACGGCCCAGACUCCUACGGGAGGCAGCAGUGGGGAAUAUUGGACAAUGGGGGGAACCCUGAUCCAGCCAUGCCGCGUGUGUGAAGAAGGCCUUAUGGUUGUAAAGCACUUUAAGCGAGGAGGAGGCUACUGAGACUAAUACUCUUGGAUAGUGGACGUUACUCGCAGAAUAAGCACCGGCUAACUCUGUGCCAGCAGCCGCGGUAAUACAGAGGGUGCGAGCGUUAAUCGGAUUUACUGGGCGUAAAGCGUGCGUAGGCGGCUUUUUAAGUCGGAUGUGAAAUCCCCGAGCUUAACUUGGGAAUUGCAUUCGAUACUGGGAAGCUAGAGUAUGGGAGAGGAUGGUAGAAUUCCAGGUGUAGCGGUGAAAUGCGUAGAGAUCUGGAGGAAUACCGAUGGCGAAGGCAGCCAUCUGGCCUAAUACUGACGCUGAGGUACGAAAGCAUGGGGAGCAAACAGGAUUAGAUACCCUGGUAGUCCAUGCCGUAAACGAUGUCUACUAGCCGUUGGGGCCUUUGAGGCUUUA